GAGGUGGAAGACCUUAGAGAUGAAGUAGUAGUGAUCCAGUACUUAUGUAAGCAGUUCCAGAAUGUAUGAUGUUGAACCCGGCGUCUUCUACCGGAAGAGCAGAUGGUGCCUGUGGACCCCAAGAGCUCUGUCCCAGUUGCUCUCCUCCUGUUCCCCCUUAGCCAGAGCUUCUUUUGUAGAACAUUUUAUUGAAAUACUGUGUACAGAGUGUCUGUACAAAUACAUGUGGCUUUGUUAUCUGCUCACACU